rnacentral:lncRNA from 1 species
UCGGUGAUGCUCCUGCGGACUUCCGGCAAACUCCUGGACUUGCGACAAUCCACUUGGCGAGUUCCGACGAGCUUUGCUUGGCAAGCUUCUGGACUUCUCGGAUCUGUUCCCGCAGAACCUCCGACGACCGUCCGAACUUCCGUCGAACUCUCGAACUCCCAACGUGAUCAUGAACUUGACUCCGGCGCAACUCCUGCUGCUUGUCUAACUUUCAUCGUAGUUAAUCCUGCACACUUAUCUCAACACAUAGAUUAGACAAUAAAUGACAAUUGACUUCAUCAUCAAAAUCCGAGAUUCAACAAUCUCCCUCUUUUUGAUGAUGACAAUCAAUUGAUAAUGGAGUUAUCCUUAACUCCCCCUGUCUAUAUGCCAUAGUUGAGAUAAGUCAACCUUGAAUUCAAGACCUAAGAAUUCAAG